rnacentral:rRNA from 1 species
UACGGGGGGGGCAAGCGUUGUUCGGAAUUACUGGGCGUAAAGGGCUCGCAGGCGGCCAACUAAGUCAGACGUGAAAUCCCUCGGCUUAACCGGGGAACUGCGUCUGAUACUGGAUGGCUUGAAUCCGGGAGAGGGAUGCGGAAUUCCAGGUGUAGCGGUGAAAUGCGUAGAUAUCUGGAGGAACACCGGUGGCGAAGGCGGCAUCCUGGACCGGCAUUGACGCUGAGGAGCGAAAGCGUGGGGAGCGAUCCGG